rnacentral:rRNA from 1 species
UACGUAGGGGGCAAGCGUUGUCCGGAAUCAUUGGGCGUAAAGAGCGUGUAGGCGGCUAGGUAGGUCCGUUGUGAAAACUCGAGCUCAACCUCGAGACGCCGGUGGAAACCAUCUAGCUAGAGUCCGGAAGAGGAGAGUGGAAUUCCUGGUGUAGCGGUGAAAUGCGCAGAUAUCGUAAGGAAGACCAGUGGCGAAGGCGGGUCGUCUGGACAGUUCCUGACGCUGAGGCACGAAGGUCAGGGGAGCA